GCCUGGGUGGCUUGGUCGGUUAAGCGUCUGAUUUCGGCUCAGGUCAUGAUCUCACGGUCCGUGAGUUCGAGCCCCGCGUCGGGCU
rnacentral:tRNA from 1 species